CCAGGAUGUUGCAAGUAAAGUAGUAGCAUAGUCAACUAAAGUUCAAAAGCAAGGCAUCAUCUGCAUGACAUCAUCCACAGACAACAAAGACUAUCACCAUCCAGAUAAGAAGUUCUUCAAGCAGGCAGAUGAAGUCAUUUUUCACUUCAGUGCUUCUCUUUCCUUCCAAGAGCCCGUGACAGAGGAAGAUUAAAGUGAAUUAAAA
rnacentral:lncRNA from 1 species